rnacentral:misc_RNA from 1 species
AAGUCGUAACAAGGUCUCCGUAGGUGAACCUGCGGAGGGAUCAUUAACACAUAAACAUACACAUAUCGGUUGAUAUUUCGAAAGAGACAUAGGCAGGUAUGGGUAUACUACCAACAACGUGAACGAUGGUGAGGCGUGCUGUACGAUACUCUUGGGUACAGGCAGCGCGUCUCAUCCCCCUCCCCUACUGUGUGCAGGUAGGAGUGAGUGCGUGUAUAUAUAUAUAUAUAUGUAUGUAUGUACGUCUCCUCCUCCUCAUGCUUUAGGACCAUUUUUUUACACAAACGAAAAAAAUACAUUAACCCAGUACUAUUACUAAUACACUUGUACUGCUUGUGUGUGUGUGUAUAUACCUCGUGUAUGUAUGCUCCUCCCUCGCAGUGUUUGACAUAUAACACAAACAAAUGUACAACUGUUAGCAAUGGAUAUCUUGGUUCUC